rnacentral:rRNA from 1 species
CAAAAAAACAAUCUCAGUUCAGACUGCAGGCUGCAACUCGCCUGCACGAAGUCGGAAUUGCUAGUAAUCGUAGGUCAGCAUACUACGGUGAAUACGUUCCCGGGCCUUGUACACACCGCCCGUCAAACCAUGAGAGUUGGCAACACCCGAAGUCGGUAGUCUAACCGCAAGGAGGACGCCGCCGAAGGUGGGGUUGAUGAUUAGGGUUAAGUCGUAACAAGGUACC